UUUAAUUGAUUUCUUCGGAAAGAAGUUUUUGUGACUGAGUGGCGGACGGGUGAGUAACGCGUGGGUAACCUGCCUCAUACAGGGGGAUAACAGUUGGAAACGACUGCUAAUACCGCAUAAGCGCACAGGAUUGCAUGAUCCAGUGUGAAAAACUCCGGUGGUAUGAGAUGGACCCGCGUCUGAUUAGCCAGUUGGCGGGGUAACGGCCCACCAAAGCGACGAUCAGUAGCCGACCUGAGAGGGUGACCGGCCACAUUGGGACUGAGACACGGCCCAAACUCC
rnacentral:rRNA from 1 species